UACGUAGGGUGCAAGCGUUGUCCGGAAUUAUUGGGCGUAAAGAGCUCGUAGGCGGUUUGUUGCGUCGGCUGUGAAAUCUCGAGGCUCAACCUCGGGUCUGCAGUCGAUACGAGCAAACUAGAGUGUUGGCAGGGGAGACUGGAAUUCCUGGUGUAGCGGUGAAAUGCGCAGAUAUCAGGAGGAACACCGGUGGCGAAGGCGGGUCUCUGGGCAACUACUGACGUGGAGGAGCGAAAGCGUGGGGAGCGAACAGG
rnacentral:rRNA from 1 species